rnacentral:rRNA from 1 species
AUGCUUAAAAUUGAUCUUGCUAAAGCUUUUGAUCGUAUUGAAUGGAAUUUCAUCGUUUCGGCUCUCUCACGUAAAGGGUUGCAUGCUCACUUCAUUAAUCUUAUCUAUGCAUGCAUUUCUACUCCAAUUUUUUCUGUCAUCGUUAAUGGCCAAGCCACUCAGAGACUCAAAAGUGAUAGGGGUAUAAGACAGGGUUGUCCUCUUUCUCCCUAUCUUUUUGUGCUUGCCAUCAAUGAACUUUCUCUGGCUCUUAAUGAUGCUAUGGCUGCUAACAACCUUGAAGGCAUCAUGCUUGGACAAAAUUGCCCUCCAGUCCACUCCUUACUUUUUGCAGAUGAUCUACUGGUGUGUGGAAAAGCUAGCUUGCAGGAAGCUCGUACCAUGGCUCAUAUCUCACCAUUUCUGCACUUCUUCGGGUCAGACUCCAAAAUGGUCCAAGUCUUCUAUACUUUUUAG